AGCAGUCGCCGCGGGAAUACGAAGGGUGCAAGCGUUAAUCGGAAUUACUGGGCGUAAAGCGUGCGUAGGCGGUUUGUUAAGUCUGUUGUGAAAUCCCCGGGCUCAACCUGGGAAUGGCAAUGGAUACUGGCAAGCUAGAGUGUGUCAGAGGAUGGUGGAAUUCCCGGUGUAGCGGUGAAAUGCGUAGAGAUCGGGAGGAACAUCAGUGGCGAAGGCGGCCAUCUGGGACAACACUGACGCUGAGGCACGAAAGCGUGGGGAGCAAACAGGAUUAGAUACCCCCGUAGUCCCUGUCUCUUAUAA
rnacentral:rRNA from 1 species